AAUGAACGCUGGCGGCAUGCCUUACACAUGCAAGUCGAACGGCAGCACGGGAGCAAUCCUGGUGGCGAGUGGCGAACGGGUGAGUAAUGUAUCGGAACGUACCUUUCAGUGGGGGAUAACGUAGCGAAAGUUACGCUAAUACCGCAUAUUCUGUGUGCAGGAAAGCAGGGGAUCGCAAGACCUUGCGCUGAUUGAGCGGCCGAUAGCAGAUUAGCUAGUUGGUGAGGUAAAGGCUCACCAAGGCGACGAUCUGUAGCGGGUCUGAGAGGAUGAUCCGCCACACUGGAACUGAGACACGGUCCAGACUCCUACGGGAGGCAGCAGUGGGGAAUUUUGGACAAUGGGGGCAACCCUGAUCCAGCCAUGCCGCGUGAGUGAAGAAGGCC
rnacentral:rRNA from 1 species